UCAGUGACUUUGAAACUGCAGCUAAAUAUGUAUGCAAGACCAUGGAAAUCACACCAGGAAGUAGCCCUUUUCUCUGCAUGGACCUCACAUACAUCACCUGGCUUCUGCAAGAACUAGGCUUUGCCAAGAGCCAAGUCUUCAAGCUUGCACGGAAAAUUGACAACGUUGAAACAAGCUGGGCUCUGGGAGCCACUUUUCAUUACAUUGACUCACUCAACAGACUGCAG